rnacentral:rRNA from 1 species
AUACUGAGUGGCAAACGGGUGAGUAUAAUGUGGGAAUCUGCCUUUUGGUUUGGAAUAACACGGGGAAACUUGUGCUAAUACCGAAUAAGCCCUUACGGGGAAAGUUUUAACGCCGAAAGAUGAGCCUGCACUUGAUUAGCUAGUUGGUAAGGUAAAGGCUUACCAAGGCAACGAUCAAUAGCUGUUCUUAGAGGAAGACCAGCCACAUUGGGACUGAGACACGGCCCAGACUCCUACGGGAGGCAGCAGUGGGGAAUCUUGCACAAUGGGGGAAACCCUGAUGCAGCGAUGCCGCGUGAGUGAAGAAGGCCCUUGGGUUGUAAAACUCUUUCGUCGGGGAAGAA